rnacentral:lncRNA from 1 species
GAAUAAUUUGCACUCAACAGUCUUUGACAUAAAAAGGAAAAAAGGCAACCAGUGGUCCAGUGGUAAUUGAAGACUUUGUUUUGUUUUUCUCUACAGGACCCUACUCAAACAGAUAACCUGCACAGUUGUUUGGACACCUUAAAGAAAUGCAUCUCCUUGCUUCACACAGCCAUUGUCACCACCAUAAAACACCCAACCAGUGAGCAGGCCCAAGCCUCCAAAACAUACAUUCUGAGCAAAGUGGAAAGCACAGUGAAUGAAAUUGUCACAAUACUCAAGAGUGAAUGCCGUGCAGGUGGUGGCGUCUUAGGUGUGUGUGGGUACUAUACUGAGAGACGUGACAGUUUGAUAAGGCUCCUUGCCAGUUCUUCCUCGAUCAGGGACAGUUACUUUGACAGCCUCUUAAGAGACCUUGUCUUCCACUGCAUCGCAGUGGCUAACUCCUCACGGGUGGAACUUCAGCACAGUGUGGUCGAUCACUGUCGACAUGUCCUACAGCUCUGGUCAGAAAUAAACAGGCUCAUAAGGUUUCCAGAGAAUCCUGAUGAUGAUAAGCUGAACCAGGUAUUAGACAGUAUCUGUUCUUCAUUGAUACAGCGAAUCUGGCUGCUUGACCGUGUCAUGAUGACUGCAGUUCUCUACCUUGUUCUGGACACCGGUGUUAUAGCGUCAAGUUCACACAAAGAGCUGGUGGAUUUGGUUGGACAGGUUCUAGUGGGUGAUUCAAGCAAAGAUUUCCUGAAAAACCCAGAUUCUAUGCAGCCCUUGCUCAUGGAUCUUCUCUCACAGGCUGAUAAGAUGAUCCAGGUUGCCAGUUUCAUCUCAUCUUUUGCCACAGAUUCUAAGGGUCUAGAAAACAUGGAGAACUCAAGGGCAUGCUUCACGCGGCUAAAGGCUGGGAUCAAACCUCUCAUGCUGGAGUUGGAUAGCAACAGUUCAGACUCUGAGAAGUUCUUUGAAGUUGUGCAAAAACUCCAUGAUCUGUGUCAGCGAUGGGAUGAGGAGACCAUUCAGCUGCAGGGUGCUCUUUGUGACGUCCUCAAUGUUAAAGAGUUCACUUCUUUGGCAGUUUCUGAAAUGGCUAAUGAAUGGCAUGAAUGCAAAGCAGCGUAUAAAGCUAAGAACCUCAAGCUGUUCCGCAAGCUAGCUGAUAACCUUAUUUCCCAGACAAAACAGGUGUUCCACACUGUUAGAAGGCAAUUAGACAAAAGUAACAACCCUAUUUAUCGCAAUGGUCUACUAGUGCUGUUGAAACAAGUUGAAGCUUCACAGACCAAGGUGGUUGGAGCUAUCAGAGAGAUAGGUUCUAGUUCCAACCUAGGUCUGGAUGUAUCCUCUGGCUUUUCAGACCACGCCUCAGUGAUGAUCCAGCAAUUUCAAGUUUUAAGAGAAGGACUGGAUGGACAGAAACAUCCACAUCUUCUUAGUCCACUGCGAGAGGACGCACGCCACUGCAGAGUUUCACCCUCAGUUCGAAUAACCAAUGAAGCUCAAGGAUCAGCUCUAGAUCAGGAAGUAGGAGAUGUUUGCCUUCAGUCUCCUGUUCUUUCAGAAAGACAUUCACCAGUUGAAUGUAAAGUUGAGCCCUCAGAUAAAGAAAUUGGAGAUCCCAUGAUGGCACGCAAAGAUUUGCAAUAUGAUUUAAAAGGGACAGCUGUUUCAGGUGAAGCAAAACCUUUUGAUUUUGACCUUCUGCCCCUGUUGUAUGAAGUUGUGACUGUGACUAAAGAAAAAGAUGUAACGGUUCUCAGCAAAUCCUGUACAGGAGUUCUCAAGCUGUCAAACUGUUAUGCUCAGGCGGCAAAAGAAGCUUCAAUUCUUGUUGACACUGUCGAUAAGCAGACAUUGGAUAUUUUCAGGUCAGAGUUAUUGACCCUGACGCCUCAGUUGGUCCAGACAGCUCAAGAGACCGCAAUGAGCUCGAACAUGAGCAUAGACACUCUCUACAAACACAGUACAUUACUGUCUGACUUGAUCAAAAACCUCAGAAAAGUCCUCAUACCAGCUGCUGGAGCGUGGUACCAGCAGAUCUUUUCAAUGUUUCAAGGUUGUCAGCCGAACAUUGGCACUGCUCAGGAGCUCAGCAAAGUAAUUAAUCUUUGUUCCAAUGUUGUGCAGCUGUUGACAUCGUCUGAUAUAACCACCCCAAGUGAAUGUCAGGAGAGUUUUAUGGCUUUACAGAGCAAGCUGAACAAAGCACAUAACAACACAAGACAUCUGGCUGAACUUGCUAGCUCAUCAACACCAAGUCAAGCAGAUCAACUUGAAGGGCCUUGUAUUUUAUGGGCACUGUCUAUCCAAAUUUUACUGAAAUCCCUGGAUACUAUUUUGGGAACAAGGGAAUCAUUGAUUAGACAGUUGACCCCUCAGAAAAGAUUGACGGCCAUGUCCGAGAACUCACUGAGAAUACAAGAGGCAGCGAGACUAACUAGCUUGAACUGUAAAAGCGCCUAUGAAGAGAAAACUUUGACAGAACUUCAAGGGGAGUUGAAGAUUCUUACUGAGGCUUUCUUACAGGUUGCUGAGAACCACAACAUUCUGCCCUUCUCAGGAAUCCUUAAAUUUGCCAGAUCAGAACUCCUCCAAAGACAACUGCUGAUCAAAAUUAGGGUGAUAUCCGGCCAUUUGAACAAAGCAAAUAAGGACUAUGUCAACCCGAUUAAAAACAUCUUAAACAUCGCUUACACCGCUGCUGAGCAUCAUGAAGAUGACAAGAUGUCUGAGGAGGCCCAAGAAAGAUUUGACACAGCUGCAGAAUUGUUCAUCAAGAAUGUCAGAGCUGCAACGAAGAGUGUUGAAGACUGUUUUAAUUACAUUCGCCAGCCUCAUGUUCGAGUUGCCCUGAGAUCCAUCAACGAUCAUUUGUCUUUCCAGAUCUCAGAUAUAGUGAGCCGAGCCAGACUCUUAACAGAGCGCCAUUGUAUCGACGACACUCUCAGCCUGGAGAUACGGAUUCAAUGCUGGUCUGCUAAGGCUCGCUAUGUAACUGAGGAGCUCUAUAAGGUGGAUGAGCUAAUCCAGGAGGCUAAGGAAAAAGUCAAGGCUGGUCUGCAGGGUGGAAGAUCAGGGGAUUCCAAAAAGUGGAUGACUGGGACAAGUCUUUGUACUACCAUGAAGAGGGUUGAUUACCAACCAGAGAUUGCACCCUGGCAGCUAAUCAAUACAGAGAAUUUUAAUGUCUCAGGACAGGCCAGUAUAAGUGGUGAAAAUCCCCAACAUGAAUCGGUGAUGGCAACUCAACAAUGUGUGAGUAUAAAAUAGCUGAUCAUUUAAAUAUUUUAGUAAUGGAUACAUUAAAAAUAUAAAUUAUGAUCAUUAUUAUUACAUAUGGUCUACUUAAGCCAAAAAAUUAAUUGCCAGUGUAAAAUACUUGUCCAUUUUCUUACAUUUCAAUACAUUCACUUUAUAUAAACCUUAUUUCUUUACAGGAGGCCUCAAAGUCUGCUGUCUGCGGGGACACCCCAUUCCUGACAAACUCCACCGGGUCCCUCAUGUACACCACAACCACUCCUUCUCUUACCUAUACCUCCCUGUUCCUCAAACAAGAGACAGACCAGUGGGAUGCUCAGGGCAACCGUAUCGUCCAGGUAACCAGGGAGAUGGCGGACCAGAUCUACCACAUGGCCCAGUACCUGAGGAGGAAAGGACCAAUACUGGUGAUGAAGAUCAAUCAACCAAUACAUCUACUUAUUGUUUCAACUGGAAAGAAUUUAGUGCAGUCUGGUUAAAUUGGGAUAAAUUCAGCCUCUGUCUUGGAAUGCUUACAUUUUUUAUAUUUACCAUCACAGAUUAAGCCAUUUUGAAAUAUAUAUUACAGAACAAAGAGAUGUUUGUCGGCACAGCAAAGGGUGUGGUCUCAAACUGCCAGUCCAUCACCAACUUUCUGAAGGUCAUAGUAAACCACUGUUUGGACCAACAGUGUUCCGCUGAGCUGUCUUUAAGAGUGGAACAGAUUCUCACUAUCACUAAUCAACUCACUAUCAUCUCCAGGUGAGUGAUUAAUCAACAAUUAAACCAAUCUAUUCAAUGUAUUCA